rnacentral:sRNA from 1 species
UUGAUGAAGAAGAAGCAGCCGCUUCUCACCUUACAACCAUGGUUCGUAAGGUUACGGUGUUAUACAAUAAGUGUUGCUUGUUGUAUUGCGUCUGUAAGCGGGUGUAUUGCACCCGCUUUUAUAUUUGGUU